AGCGAACGCUGGCGGCAGGCUUAACACAUGCAAGUCGAGCGGGCCCUUCGGGGUUAGCUGCGGUGGGGUGAUUAACGCGUGGGAACGUGCCUUCUGGUUCGGAAUAAUUCAGUGUAACUUGAGCUAAUACCGGAUACGCCCUUUCGGGGUAAGGUUUGCUGCCGGAAGAUCGGCCCGCGUCUGAUUAGCCAGUUGGUGGGGUAACGGCCUGCCAAGGCGACGAUCAGUAGCUGGUCUGAGAGGAUGAUCAGCCACACUGGGACUGAGACACGGCCCAGACUCCUACGGGAGGCAGCAGUGGGGAAUAUUGGACAAUGGGCGCAAGCCUGAUCCAGCCAUGCCGCGUGAGUGAUGAAGGCCUUAGGGUUGUAAAGCUCUUUUAUCCGGGACGAUAAUGACGGUACCGGAGGAAUAAGCCCCGGCUAACUUCGUG
rnacentral:rRNA from 1 species